rnacentral:rRNA from 1 species
CAGUCGCCGCGGUAAUACGAAGGGUGCAAGCGUUAAUCGGAUUUACUGGGCGUAAAGCGUGCGUAGGCGGCUUUUUAAGUCGGAUGUGAAAUCCCUGAGCUUAACUUAGGAAUUGCAUUCGAUACUGGGAAGCUAGAGUAUGGGAGAGGAUGGUAGAAUUCCAGGUGUAGCGGUGAAAUGCGUAGAGAUCUGGAGGAAUACCGAUGGCGAAGGCAGCCAUCUGGCCUAAUACUGACGCUGAGGUACGAAAGCAUGGGGAGCAAACAGGAUUAGAUACCCGAGUAGUCCCUGUCUCUUAUAC